rnacentral:pre_miRNA from 1 species
GGUCCGUGGACUGCGGUGUGUUCUGCGGCUCUAUCUGCGAGUCGCCGCGAACCGUCACAGUCUGCAGACC